AACGAACGCUGGCGGCGUGGCUAAGGCAUGCAAGUCGAGCGGAUAUAUCCUGAUCGCAAGUGACGGAUAUAUUAGCGGCGAACGGGUGAGGAGUGCAUGGACAACGUACCCUGGACUUGGGAAUAGCGGCGGGGAAACCCUUUGCGAAAGUGCCGGUAAUACCCAAUGACCUCGCGGAAUCGCAUGGUUUUGCGAGCAAAGCUCCGACGGUCCUGGAGCGGUUCANGUCCUAUCAGCUAGUUGGUGGGUAACGGCCUACCAAGGCGGCGACGGGUAGCGGGCUGAGAGCGCGACCCGCCACAUCGGAACUGAGACACUGUCCGGACACCUACGGGUGGCUGCAG
rnacentral:rRNA from 1 species